GACGUAGGGCGCGAGCGUUAUCCGGAAUUAUUGGGCGUAAAGAGCUCGUAGGCGGUUUGUCGCGUCUGCCGUGAAAGUCCGGGGCUCAACUCCGGAUCUGCGGUGGGUACGGGCAGACUAGAGUGAUGUAGGGGAGACUGGAAUUCCUGGUGUAGCGGUGAAAUGCGCAGAUAUCAGGAGGAACACCGAUGGCGAAGGCGGGUCUCUGGGCAGUAACUGACGCUGAGGAGCGAAAGCGUGGGGAGCGAACAGG
rnacentral:rRNA from 1 species